GACGAACGCUGGCGGCGUGCUUAACACAUGCAAGUCGAACGAUGAAGCUGGAGCUUGCUCCGGUGGAUUAGUGGCGAACGGGUGAGUAACACGUGAGCAAUCUGCCCUUGACUCUGGGAUAACUGCGGGAAACUGUAGCUAAUACCGGAUACGAGGCUCGAAGGCAUCUUCGGGUCUGGAAAGAAUUUCGGUCAAGGAUGAGCUCGCGGCCUAUCAGCUUGUUGGUGAGGUAAUGGCUCACCAAGGCGACGACGGGUCGCCGGCCUGAGAGGGUGACCGGCCACACUGGGACUGAGACACUGCCCAGACUCCUACGGGAGGCAGCCGUGGGGAAUAUUGCACAAUGGGCGAAAGCCUGAUGCAGCAACGCCGCGUGAGGGAUGAAGGCCUUCGGGUUGUAAACCUCUUUUAGCAGGGAAGAAGCGAAAGUGACGGUACCUGCAGAAAAAGCACCGGCUAACUACGUGCCAGCCGCCGCCGUAA
rnacentral:rRNA from 1 species